UGGCGCGGGGAGGAGCGGGGACCUGGCAGCAGGGCUGCGAGGCUGCGAGCGAGCCGCGGACCGGGCGGGCGGCGGGCGCGCGCACCAUGGGGGAGAAACCGGGCACCAGGGUCUUCAAGAAGUCGAGCCCUAACUGCAAGCUCACCGUGUACUUGGGCAAGCGGGACUUUGUAGACCACCUGGACAGAGUGGACCCCGUAGAUGGCGUGGUGCUCGUGGACCCUGACUACUUGAAGGACCGCAAAG